rnacentral:rRNA from 1 species
UACGUAGGGUCCGAGCGUUGUCCGGAAUUACUGGGCGUAAAGAGCUCGUAGGUGGUUUGUCGCGUUGUUCGUGAAAACUCACAGCUCAACUGUGGGCGUGCGGGCGAUACGGGCAGACUAGAGUACUGCAGGGGAGACUGGAAUUCCUGGUGUAGCGGUGGAAUGCGCAGAUAUCAGGAGGAACACCGGUGGCGAAGGCGGCAUCCUGGACCGGCAUUGACGCUGAGGCGCGAAAGUCAGGGGAGCGAAACGGG